rnacentral:lncRNA from 1 species
UUAAAUUCCUUCCGUCCGAUCUAAUAAAAAUAAUAAUACAAUUAUAAGUUACUUACUAAUUAUAAUUUAUAUUAAUAUGAAAUUAAUUUUUUCAAUUACAUCAAUUUUACAAAAUAACCCUAAUUAAAUUAUAAUUUAUCUUCUAAUCAUUUUUUUCUUUUUGAUUAUACUUUAACAAAUUAAUAACCUUAAGAUAUUAUAUAUAUAAAUAAUAAACCUUAUUCAAUCAUUAAAGGCAUAGUCUUUUAUAUAUAUAUAUAUAUAUAUAUAUAUAUAUAUAUAUAUAUAUACACACACACACACACACACAAAAUAGAAUAGAAUUUGAAAAAACUUAAGUUCCCGCUCAAGCCUAUUAAAUGAUCUAGACCGUCAAAACUAUUGGAUAAAUCUGACCCUUUAUUACUAAGGUUAACAAAACACGGAGGGAAAAACCAACAAUAAACCUCAACCCAGAAGGAAUUCAAGGUUCUUCUUCCUCUUCUACCUGUUCAAAAUCCUUUUCAAUCUAAACCAAAAAAUUUAUGAAAUUUCCUCAACAAUAAACCUCAACCCAUCGAUUUCUACAAAGAAGAAGAACAACAAACUGCAAUAAUGACAGCAGCCCAACGAUUUCUCCAACGACGAUUUCUCCAACCCAGAAGACAUCGAUUUCUCCAAUGACGACAGCAGCGGCGAUGAUUCUCGACCCACUGCGAUGAUUCUCGACCCACCGGCGAUGAUUCUCGACGACAGCAGCGGCGGCGAAGAAAACCCCAAAGUCCCGAAGAAACGGGCGGAAACAUGGGUCCAAGAAGAGACCCGAACUGUCAUCAGCCUCCGCCGGGAAAUCGACUCUCUCUUCAACACUUCGAAAUCCAACAAGCACCUGUGGGACCAGAUUUUAGCCAAAAUGAGAGAAAAAGGGUUCGAUCGCUCGCCGACUAUGUGCACUGACAAGUGGAGGAAUUUGUUGAAGGAGUUCAAAAAGUCUAAGCAGCAACCUAGCAGUGAUCCCAAGAGUUCGUCCCCUGCCUUGCAAUUCUCUGAUAAAGGUAUAACCUAUGCACCUGUGGGUCUUUCUUUUUGUUCAGAUAUUGUGUUUGCAUUUGUAUUCUAGGGUCUCUGAGUGAUUUUGUAGGGGGAAAAGAAUAAAAAAAAAUUAUAUGUAAAAAAAGAAGCAAGUCAAGCUUGAUACAGUUACAUCAAGCUUGCAGGAGAAGCCUCACAGAAACUUUAGAUAGAUAGAUAGAUAAAGUUGUCAAAUUGUGUUAGUUUUGCUUUGCCUUGCAGAGACAUAAAGUAGUCAUAAAUUCUGUCUUAAGAGGAGAGGAGGAUCUCCUGCCUUAAGUUUUUAAAUUCUGCCUUAAGUUUUUUAUGCAGAGUCAAAUUAUAAGAUAGAUUACUUUAUUUUAAUUAUAUUUCUCCUCUUAAAAACUUUAAAUAGAUAGAUAGAUUAGAAAUGUUUUUAAGAGGACUUGGCUCCUCUGUUACGCUUAACAGAGUGAGUGAGGGAGGGAAUGAAUGAUAAGCAUGUUUUCUUUUUAAUUUGAAAUUCCUACUUCAGUGUUCAACUACAUAUUUGGCCAUUUCUUAUUACUAAUGACCUCAUCAAAAUCAAGGUUGCUAAAUUCUCAUGUCAACCAAUAAAAUUGUUUUCUUUAUUUUAAAAUAGAUAGAUUAGAAAAGUAGUAUAUAUUUUUAAUUUUAAUAUAAUUCACAAAUUGCAAGGCAGGAGAUCCUCCUCUCCUCUUAAAAACAUUUCUCAUAAAUUCUGUCUCUGCUUUUUUUCAUUUGUUCUUGGUUUUCCUCCUCUCCUUCUUAUAUUCCCCUCUUAUUCUUCUUCCUCUUCCUCUUCCUGUUAGUUGGGUGAAAUUUCUUAUAUUCCCCUGUUUUUUUCUCCCAAAGCUUCAACGAUGGCAGACAUUACCCACCCUCCUAUGGAACAACUCCAAGACCUUGAAUACUACAUUGAUUCUAACCCUCCAUGAUAUUAUUUAGUUUACUGCUCUGAUUUCUCCCUUUUUCUGUUUCUAUUUAAAUUACACCUAAAACAUUAUAGUUUAUAAAAAUUUUAGUUGUGUAUAUUUUUUGAGAGUCACAAGCAAUUUUUUUUUUUGAAAAUAUUCAAUAUUCUGGUCCAGUAAACAUGUCCAUGUAGAAGGACUAGCUUUAGAUUGUUUGUGUGUCAGUGUUGGACUGUUGUUUGAGCUCUGUUAUUCAUGACUAUACUAUUAAUUAUCUACUAACAAGGUUAUCAUGUCUACUGAAACAAGCUCUUAUUUGGGUAAAAAGUAUCUCAAAGCUAGCUGUAUCCAAGACAUUCUAAAAGCCAAGUUUAAACCAAGCACUUUCAGAAAAAGCAUCCUGAGAAUUUUUCUAAUACAGCUAUAACAUAAAUGUUUAAUGUGAAGAAUUGAAUGUUUAUAAAUUUCUACAAAUAAGAAGAUAACAAAAACUCGAUUGAUCAGCGAUACAAUUAUAAUUUAGCAUCAUGAGCUCAAAUGUUGUACUUAUUGGCUUUGUUCCUCUAUAUGCUUUCUUGACUUUUUUCCUUCCUCUGUAUUUACGUGUGUUUGUGUGUAUAUAUGUAUAUAAUUUUAUUGUACAAAUUAAAUUAUGAAAAUAGUAGUUUCACAAAAAAUUAUUGGUGCCCCUUUUUGAUUUCACGUUCUGUUUGAUAUGUUUCUCUAAUUUGAAAAAUCAAAAUGGAGUAGUAUGAGUCUCUUAUAAGCAGUUUGAUUAGGGUUCGUUUCUUUAAAACCCUUCCCCCCUUUUUCUAAUUAGCGGGCCUGAAAUUCCUGUUUCUCAAUGUAAUCAGUAAUUCAGGAUGUUUUGGGUUUUGAUUGGGUGGUUUUGCCAUGAAAUUUCAUGAAUGACUUCUUAUUUAUUUUUUGCCAACUGAGGGGUGUUUUUGUUUAGUAUAUCUAUUUUUUUUGGGCUUCUUUGGGUCUUGAAUAAGCGAAAUAUAUUGUAUCUGUUAUUCCUGAUAUAAGGUAGUUCGUAUGAAGGAUGGGACAAAAGUAUUGGGCUCUUGAGGUAUAAAGCAUAAACUUAAGAAAUAAACAUAUGACUUUAUGAUAUAAUGUACCUUAGGUGUUGAUCAUAGCCUCAUAAAAGAAAAUGCAUAAUGGUAAAAUGAAUUGAUUGGACAUAGCCUCAUGGAGUUGAUAGUCUAUGUGUGUGCUGUGUGAUUGUACUUGCAGGUGACUUAUUUAACACAUUCUUCUUAGUGGUAUACGUGUAGGGAUUGUUCGUAUUCAGUUGUGAUUGUGUACAUGCUUUCCUUCUUAGAGUUUUUCCCCCCCAUUUUAAGCUGUUCUGUAUCAAAUCUUUGUAGUGUGUAAUAUCCUUUUAAACUAAAGUUGAGCUAUUGCAUAAGUACUUGAUAAGUUUAAUAUCUAAUACUCCUACAUAUUACGUAAACGUACUUAUUAGUUGUUAUUACUACCUCCCUUUAAAAUGACAAUUGUACCCUUUAUUGAAAAUUAACUUCUUCUUUUCAUGACACAUUUAUUUUAUUUUAAACAAUCAUUUAACCUUCUUUUUAAAACAAUCAAUUUGUAGUUAAAUAUUGUGAAUUAUUAUUAUUUUGAAUGUGAAAUAUUGUUUUAGUUGUGAUAGAUUUAAUUAGUAAUAAGAAUAUUGUUUCAUCACUGAAUUUGAUUCGUUUGACACUAAUACAUUUUUUUCAAUAGCGAAUAUGAAUCAUGAGGUCUCCCUGCCCACGGGACCACCUUCUUAUACCAUUUUUGGAUAUGUAAGUUCCUUUUUCAGACUUAAUGAAAAUUGAAAAAUUAAUAUUUCUUUUUGAAAUUUCUAACGUGUCUUUCACUUUGGGACAGGAGGAUUAUAUUUUGCAAUGCACGGUAAAAUUAUUUUCUUCUUUUAUAGCAAACGUGCAAUUUAAAAGUUUUUUUAAUACUUUCUAUAUUUAACCUUCUUUUUUCCUUUCUUUAAUAGAGAGCACAUUAUCGAAAAAAGAAUAUUGGCAUUGUCAUUCGAGAAGAAUCUGACUUGAAGAUUAUGCGUAAGGCAAGAUAAGAUAAAAUUUUAUUUUCUUAAGCUCAUACUUUAUUUUCCAAGACGGAGCAUCUUAUAUUUGUACGCUGUCAAGAGAAUCAAAGAAAACAUCAAGCAAAAGAAAAAGGGAAGGAGUUUCAAAAAGGAAAAGAAAAAGAAAAUCAAGCUCCCAAUUUUCAUGUGGUAAGUAUGCAAUAUUCCAAACAUUUACGUUAGUAGUUACAAAUAUUUGUUACACAAAGCCAUUUAAACAAAAUAUUUGAACCUAAUUUAUUAACGACACUAUGCCUUCUUAGGUUUAUAAUUAUACAUCUUUUUAGGGUUUCAAUAAUAAUAUCCUUUACAAAAAGGCAAUAAACAUAUUGCAUAGCGCUUUCGUGUGAAAUACAAAACCAAGCAAACUGAAUAUAUGCACCCGAAUCCGAAUAAAUAGAAAACAUUAUUCUUUGCUCAAAAUAACACUACGAUUUCUUCUCUUUACACUUAGAUAUCUAUUGUUAUUUGUAGGGAUCCAAUAAAAAUAUCCUUGACGAAGCUCUAAUUCCUCGACGUUAAAAACGAGAAAGGGAUAAUGGUGAUAUGCGUCCAAUACAUAUUGCUCAGCGCUUGCGUCGUGAAAGAGAGAAGCAAGCAAAAAUAAUACAAUCUCAACCAUAUCCAUUUCAACCAAGAUUUUUCCCUGGUUUGAUCACCAGGCCAUCCAAACGUGCAGCUUAUGAACGGGAUUGUAACGCGAUCAAGAAUCAUUUUUAUCAGCAUCCGUCGUUGUUAAAACCUGCGCCAUCGGACUCUAAUCGAAUUCCUCCAGUUCCGAUUUUACCACCUCAAGGGUUACAUUCAACUAACUCAAAUUCAAUGGGUGCAGAAAUCCUCCUUCCACCAAAUAAUAUAGAGCAUGUACAUGACUCCCGUAACAUUAUAUCAUCUUCCAUGCCUACAUCACCAACUUUUACGUUAGUUCAAUGCAAAUUAUUGUAUUACUAUAUACCAUAAGGAGUGUUACGAUAUAUGUGAUCUAUUUGAAACAAGUUCAUUUAUUUUUUAGGUUAUUACCAAUUAUUCAGUCAAUCAUCGAUGAAGCUUGCGUACAAGAGGAUGCAUUGCCUACAAAUAUAGCCCCUCUGCCGCAUCCUAUUUUAGGAAGACACUAUCUCGAUAAAAUGAAUAUACAAUGUCCUCACUGCUCAGCAUUGCAUUGGAAAGCCGAAAAAUUAUCAAAUUCAUCUGUUGACCGCCCUUUCUUCAGAACAUGUUGUUUGCAAGGAAAGAUUCGACUUCCAUAACUAUUAAUGCCUCCUCCAGAAAUUCAAUCAUUAUAUGAUGGCAAUGAUGAUCAGUCAAAGUCCUUUCGAAGUUAUACCCGACUGUACAAUGCGUCUAAUGCUUUUACGAGCUUAGGUGUACAUAUGGAUGAUAGAGUGGUUCCUGGUAGGGGUCCCAACGCAUUUACAAUCCAUGGGGAAUUGUGACAUCGGACAGGGUUACUACAACCUCUAGUCGGUCAAGAUCCAGUAUAUGCACAGUUGUACAUUCACGAUGCCGCAGUUGCUUUAGAAUAUCGUUCUCGAAGAAACCCGAAGCUGCGAGAGGAUGUCCUAAGAACAAUCCAGGAUAGUCUUUUGAGAUACAACUCAUUUUUGGGUAAGUUUAGACAUGCAGCUGCAAUUUUAAGCAGGGAACAUUUGAACAAUCGCGACAUCCCAGCAUACCUUCAUUAUAGUGCAGCAAAAGACCGUCGAACUCAUAAUUUACCCACGUCAGAGGAGGUUGCUGUCAUAUUACCUGGAGAUGGUGCUGAAUUCUCUGUGAUGAGGGAUAUUAUUGUACGGUUAAGAGGGAGUGACCAGUUGAUGCUGAUAAAUGAAUGCCAUCCAGCUUAUUUACCACUACAUUACGUAUUGUUGUUUUCGUAUGGUGAGCUUGGAUGGGAACCAAAUUUUAAGUAGUGGGAUGUCAAUCAAGGUAAAGCUUCAUCAAAAAGACUUACGUAAUUGCAAUAUUAUGGGUAUCGUUUGUUUGAAAGACCUACUAAGUAUUCAACUAUCUUGAGGGGUGGAAGAUUAUUUCAAGAGUUUAUUGUAGAUGCAUGGGCGGCAACAGAGCAGAAUCGAUUAACAUAUUAUAGGCUCAACCAACAAAAAUUACGAUAUGAUCUAUACCAAGAUCUGGUUGAGGUAGUUCCUGAUGGGUUAGAGGCUAAUCAAGUUGGUAAACGAGUACUUUUGUCUUCUUCUUUUUCUGGGAGUCCAAGGCAAAUGUUUGAAAUCUUCCAAGAUUCUAUGGCCAUAACUCGGUAUAACCAACACCUUGAUAUUUUCUUAACUAUGACUGUAUAUCCAAAUUGGCCCGAGAUAAAAGAUGCACUGUUACCACAUCAAAUGUCAAUUGACCGCCCAGACUUGGUGGCCCGCGUAUUUGAAUUGAAACGACGAGCUUUGAUGAUGGAAAUUGAUAAGAAGAAAGUAUUUGGUGCAAAGGUGGCACAUGUUUUCACGAUUGAAUUCCAAAAGCAUGGGUUGCCGCACAUGCAUUUGCUAAUAUUUCUUCAAGGGUCUGAUAAAAUACGAACAGGUGAACAGGUAAAUCGAGCUGUUUGUGCCGAAUUUCCCGAUCCAAUUUCUGAUCCACUUCUAUAUGAAAUAGUUAAAACUUGCAUGGUACAUGGACCAUGUGGUGUUCGAAAUCUUAAAUCACCAUGUAUGGAAGAUGGUAAAUGCACUAAGAGAUAUCCUAAAUAUUGGGCAGAAGAAACUACAAUGGGCGAAGAUGGGUAUCCGAUAUAUCAAAGGCGAAAUGACGGUCGAAAACAUUCUUUAAGGUCUGGACAUGAAGUUGAUAAUAGAGAUGUUGUACCAUAUAAUUCAUACCUCUCUAGAUUGUUUAGUUGCUAUAUAAAUGUGGAAGUUUGUGCAGGAGUAAGGUGCGUAAAGUAUAUCAAUAAAUACAUCUACAAGGGUUACGAUCGCACAACUUUGGUAUUGGGGGCCGUAAAUGAGAUUAAGUAGUAUAUUGACUCAAGGUACAUUGGACCUACAGAGGCGGCAUGGCGAAUAUUUGGAUAUCCUAUGCAUCAAGAGUUCCCUCCAGUUAUACGUCUGGUAGUUCACCUAGAGGGAAAACAUCACGUCUGCUAUAACCCUUCUGAACCUAGCUGCAAUAUUGAACAGAGCAGAGGAUCAGCAGACAACUCUAAUAGGAUUUUUUUCAUGCUGCUCUACUAAUGAUUUAGCUCGAACUCUCACAUACCAACAAUUUCCAAAGCAUUUCGUUUGGCAAAAGAAAGAACAGCUCUGGACUGAGAGACAAAGGGGAUUUGCAAUCGGAAGAAUGUAUUUUGCCAGUCCAAAUGAAGGUGAAAGGUUUUAUCUGCGUCUUCUGUUGACGGUUGUAGAGGGACCUCAAUCUUUUCAAUGUUUAAGAAUAGUUGAUAAUGUUGUACACCCCACAUAUAAGGUUGCAUGUAUUGCAAAAGGCCUUUUGGAAGACGAUGAAGAGUGGAUUCAAUGUCUUAGAGAAGCAUCAAUAAUGAGAACAGGCUCUCAAUUAAGAAGGUUGUUUUCUAUUAUCUUGACACAAUGCUCUCCUUUAAAUCCAGAAGCGUUAUGGAACCAAUUUUCUAUGCAUAUUUGUGAUGAUUUAUCACACAAAAUAAGUACAUGUUAUGGCAUUGAUGUUCCUACUAAUACUCAAAUUUGUGAUUAUGGUUUAUACCUUAUUAAUCUUUUGCUUCAAGAGCCAGGGAAGAGCUUAUCAGAUUACCCACCAAUGCCACUGCCAUAUACUAAUUGGAGAAUUAUCGUUGGCAAUCGACUUAUAUGGGAACACAGGCAGUUACAACUUGAAGUUGAUCAAAUAAAUGUCUAGCAAAACAUUGAUCUACUUAAUGAAGGUCAGUGUAUGGCUUAUAAUGCAAUCAUUUCAUCUGUUUAUGAAAAUAGAGGAACAACCUUCUUUCUGAGUGGGGGUGCAGGAACUGGAAAAACUUUUCUCUACAAUACAAUUGCCAAAAAAUGUCGUUCCUUAUACGAUAUAGUAAUUACAGUAACAUCCUCUGGAAUUGCUUCUGGGUUGUUACAUGGGGGACGUACUGCACAUUCAACAUUCUGCAUUCCACUUAACGUAUUAGAAAAUUCAGUUUGUGGAUUCACAAAGCAAUCAUCGCACUCGGAAUUAUUUCAGAAGGCUAGACUAAUUAUAUGGGAUGAGGUUCCGAUGCAGCAUCGUCAUUGUGUUGAAGCAGUUAAUCGGACCUUAUAAGACAUUCGUGAUAACUCCCAACCAUUUGGAGGUGUUACUGUUGUUCUUGGGGGAGAUUUUAGGCAGAUUCUUCCUGUUAUACCUAGAGGUCUUCGUGAGCAUAUAGUAACAGCAUCACUACGACGUUCUAUGCUUUGGAAAGAUAUACAUGUCUUGACAUUACAAGUUAACAUGCGCUUGCACGAUGACCAAUCGUUAUUAUUUGAUUUCUCGGCUUUUCUUAAUGAGGUUUGAGUAUUUGUAUCUUUAUUCAUAUUGACAUCUAUAUAUCGUCGAGAAUAUUUGAUAAUUUACUAAUACUUCAUUAUUGUGUAGAUUGGGUCUAACCCUCAAGAAUCUAUACAACUUCCAGAUUCAAUAAAAAUAAUUCAAAGUGUAGAUAAUCUUAUCUCGACCAUCUACCAAGAGCUAGAAGUGUCAAGUAAGGUCACUCCCGAAUUCUUAAAAGAGCGCACAAUUCUAUCUGCUAGAAAUGAUGAUGUCAAUGAUAUCAACCUAGCUGCGUUGGCGGAUUUUUCGGGAGAAAUACAUACAUACUUUGCUGCUGACAAAAUGGUUGAAGAUGAUGAUGUGGAUCAGACUAUUAUGCAUCGGUACCCGAAUGAAUAUUUGAACACACUCAAUCCCCCUGGACUACCACCAUUCAAAUUAGAUUUAAAAGAGGGUUGUCCAAUAAUGCUUCUAAGGACCAUUGCACCGAAAGUUGGAAUUUGUAAUGGUACUAGACUUAUCAUAGUCAAGUGUGGUGCUUUAGUACUUGAAGCAAAGAUUUUAACUGGUGAUAAGCAUGACGACUUGGUAUUCAUUCAAAGAAUUUCUUUGACUCCUUCUUCGUCUGAGUUAAGUAUUAAAAUGACAAGAAGACAAUUUCCAGUAAGGUUAGCGUAUGCAAUGACAAUGAAUAAAUCACAGGGCCAGUCUGUCAAAUUUGUUGGGGUAGAUUUACGUACGCCAGUAUUUAGUCACGGUCAACUAUAUGUAGCUCUGUUAAGAUGCACAAGUUCUUCCCGCUUAUGCAUACUUCUUCGUGAAUUAACUAACAAGUCCACAACAAAUAUCGUCUAUCCUGAAGUUUUGUUAUAAUUUUAUAUGUUUGAGGUAUCAUUUCUUAUCUCCGUGCGUUAUUGAUCUUCUUACGAUAAAAGUCUUGAUAUGUUUUGAAUUGACUGAUAAAAGUUUUGAAUCAACUGACAAGUCCACAACAAAUAUUGUCUUUAUAUAUGUGUUAAUUGUUGAAUAGUUGAAUAUUUGCUAAUUUUUAUAAAUGAGACUGAUGCUUGAAUAAGUUGUGGCAUCGUUGUAGUUGUGGCAUAUGCUAGCAAGACUCCUGAUGGGUAUAUGUAAGUCCUGUAGUCAUGUGAAAUGGAACUUUCUAGGACUAACAAGUUUCCCUAUAGAAAUAGCAAGGCCCAUAAAUUAUUGUAGGGUGUAAUACAAUAAUUUUAGUUGAUCAAGCCGAAGCUUAAAAAACAUGAAGUACAAGUACUCAAAUUACAAUACCGUAUAUUACGCAUACAAAAUCAUGUUUUUGAAUCCACAUGAUACAUUUGUCAACUUAUUUUACAGAUGAUGCCUUCGUAAAAGUUACUCAUUUUCUAAUUUACAGAAAAUUAGUUUACAUUUCCUUGCUCUUUUCUGUGUAAGCAAAUCUGAUAAUGUUUCGAGAGUAUGAUGCCUCCACUGAAUAACAAUUCUUGCUUUGGCCAACUAAAUACAUGAUUUAGUAAUGUAUGAACAUCAGAUAACAUAUCUUAUAGAAAACCAUUUAGAUAACAUACGAGUAUAUAUAUAUAUAUGUGUGUGUGUGUGUGUGUGUGAAGAACAAAUUUGAGAAGCUUGAUCAUCGCAGUUAACAUAAUAAGCUGGUCUAUGUUCGCUGAGCUAUAAUAUGCUUAUUAUAUAUAACUUAUGUUUUAGUUUUACUUGCACAUGAAUCGAUCAAUUUGUACAUAUAUCCUUUUCAUUACAUUUUGUUAUCAAUUUCCAAGUAUUUGAUUUAAUUUGUUGAUAUAACUGAACGAUUCAUUUCAAUUUUUGCAGUCUUGGGAUGAUAUUGCUAUUGAAUGGAAACAUGUUCAUUCAACAACAAGUCGAGGGUGGAGAAAAGUUAACAGGGUUAUGUGUAUUUUAUAAUUCUUAAAUCAUAUUCAAGUAAUCACGUGUCAAUUGUUUCGUUUUUGCGAUACUACUAACAUUUUGCUUUCUCUUAUAAAUAACAUAUUUUUGUUAUAAACAAUAUUUGUUGGCCAUGGACGUUGCCGAUGGAUAGCCUUUCUUUUCAAAGGUUUAUGUACCGAAGACAUGGUAGAGCUUGACAAAUCUACAAGGUAAAUGUUAUUAUAUGUAUUUUCGGGUAUAUAUUGAAGGAUACUUGGUGUAAGCUGUAAAGAAUAUAUUUGGUGUAAGAUGUGGUGCUCAACAUGUUGUUUCUCUAUUUUCUGCAUAUAUGUAUUUUUGUUCUCCGUCUUUUGUAAAGUUGGGUAAUUAUACAUGGUUAUGAUGAUUUUGAGUAUGGAAUGAUGUUUUUUUUGGUGGUUUGGAUAUGUAUGGAUGAUUGUAAGUUUUUAAACAGGUUUAGAUUUUUCUGGAUAUCUAUUUUUAAAGGAAACUCUGCCGAAAUUUCUUGAAAUUAGUAGCUACUAGCUUGAUAUUUUGGUGGUUGGAUAUGUGUUGAUUAUUGAAUAUGUAUUAAUUUCUGCAUGGUAUGAUGAUUUUGGGUAUGAAAUGAUGGUUUUUUUUGUAAUUUGGAUAUGUAUGGAUGAUUGUAAAUUUUAUAGACAGGUUUAGAUUUGUCUGGAUAUCUAUUUUUAAACAAAACCCUGCCAAAAAUUUUUAAAAUCAGUAGCGACUAGCUUGCCCAAAUUUGCGAUGGCCCAGAUGAUUUUUUUGGCUAUAUGUUUGACCAAAUUUACUUUUUUUUUGCGGUUGGGUCAAUUAUUUUUGAAGUUCUUAUUUUAUUUUAAUUUUUAUUUAAUCAGGCAAAGGAGCUCCAAACCAAUUUGGUGCACAUGAACCUUUUAAACAAGUGGGUAUCAUUAUGCUAUUUCAAAACUACGAUACUUUUACCUGUUAAUGUAUCAGCGACUAGUAUUCAAUAGACACAUUUAUAUGAUGUAUUGUGCUUAAAAUAGUUUUAUUAAUUAAUCCAUGUUCCAUCAAAAAUUGCAAAUUAAAUGAAGGGAAUCAAUAGCAUAUAGGUGAAGAUAAGUGCUUUUAAAUGUGCUUGAAGAAAAUAUGAAGGUCAUUGACAUUGUGAUUGUUUCGAAUUUAAUAAAUGUAGUUAACUGGCCUAUGUCAAAUUUAUUGUUGAGUGAAUGUGGAUGUUGGCUUUAGUUGUUUCCUUAAUAAAUUCAUUUUUUCUUGCCAAUCCUGAUUUGUAAAUAAUGAGUAUGUAGAUACAAUUUGUGGUAAAAUUCUUGACUUCUUUAUUUUUUGGGUGGGAUGUCUAUCUUGAUUAGAAAUUUUUUUAUUUACAACAAUUUUUUUUUAAUUUUUAUCAAAUAUAUGCUCUUUAAACAUUGUAACUCACAUUUUUCAUUUAGAUUCAUCUUUAGGUAUUAAAUAAUUACAUGAGUAUUAGCAGUGCCGGAGGCACGGGUUAACCCUAGUGUAUAUAUAUAUAUAUAUAUAUAUAUAUAUAUAUCAUGUAUUAGUACUGGACCUGCUAGUUUUAAAACAUGUUUCGAAUUUUCUAGUUUUAAAACAUGUUUCGAAUUUUCUUUUUUUUACAGCAGGUUCCGCAUAUAUAUAUAUAUAUAUAUAUAUAUAGUCUAAUGCCUUUGUUCUAACAUGGUAAUUUGAUAAACAUAUAUAUACACAUCCGGUCAAAUCAAUCAAUCAUGUAUACUAUUUUAAUUUUAACUGUGAACUAAAAGAAGUCAGCAACAUCAUUGAUAUACAAAAGGCACCAAAACGGAAAAAAAGAAAACAAACAAACCUGAUGCUCCUUUUCUUAUUACUUCGUACGCAACUUAUCUCACAAAUACAAUAAGGGCGGCUUGACUCCUCUUUCUCUUUCUCAAGUUAUAUAACGAAAAUAAGAUUAGGUUUAGUUAUUUAUUUACUUAAAAACAAAUUUUAUUAAUUAAUAUAUUUUAUUCAUUAUCUUAAUUAUAAUAGUAUUUAAUAUUACCCACAUAUAAAUUAAUCUCAAUUAGUUUUAAGGCCCAAUUUUGCCAAAUUAAUUUGUCCAUCACUUAUUAAUUUUUAUUAGCCCACAUAAAUUAAAUAACUAGUUUGACCCAAAUAAAUGACAAAGUCCAAACAAUAUAUUUUAAAACAAAAUAAUUUUUAUUAUUAUUAUUAUUAUUAUUUAAUUUCAAUUUUUUUUCUUUCGGGUAUUACAUCACCUACCCCUUAAAAAGGAUUCCGUCCCCGGAAUCAAUAGAAUGAAACGCACCUAAUUUUCAAAAAGAUGCGGAUACUCCGCUCGAAUAGACUCCUCCAUCUCCCAAGUGGCUUCCCGCUCUGAAUGAUUCCUCCACAAAACCUUAACAAAUGGAAUAGUCUUUUUCCUCAUAAUCCGCUCUUGACGAUCCAAAAUCGCCUCGACUUGUUCCUCACAAGUAAGAUCCUCCCGAAUCUUAUCGAAUAGAUAUUGUACCACGUACAACGGAUGAUAAUGAUAACUUCUCAACACUGACACAUGGAACACAUUGUGCAUAUGAGCUAGAUGUGGAGGCAAAGAUAACCGAUAUGCAACUUCACCAACCCUCUCCAAAAUCUCAAAUGGACCAAUAUAACGCGGACUAAUUUUCCCUUUCAACCCAAAUCGCCGAAUACCCUUCCAAGGAGAAACUUUUAGAAACACAUGCUCAUUAGGUUCAAAUUCUAAAUUGCUCCUAUGCUUAUCAGCAUAACACUUCUACCGUGAUCGAGCCGACUUCAAUUUCUCCUUAGCCACCGCUACCUUCUCCGUAGUUAUUUGGACUAACUCAGGUCCUUUUAUGGCCCUUUCGCCAACCUCAUCCCAACAAGUUGGUGCCCGACACUUCCUACCAUACAAUGCCUCAAAAGGAGUCAUUCCAAUACUUGCAUGCCAGCUGUUGUUAUAAGCAAACUCAACUAGGCUCAAGUAAUCAUCCCAAUUACCCGACUACUCAAGUGCACAAGACCUCAACAUGUCCUCCAACGUCUGAAUAAUCCUUUUGGAUUGCCCAUCAGUUUGCGGAUGGAAAGAAGUACUGAAGUUGAGCCGAGUGCCCCAUGCUCGUUGAAACCCUUUCCAAAACCUUGAAGUGAACCGUGGGUCUCGAUCUGAAAAAAUAGACACCGGAGUACCAUGAAGUCUAACAAUCUCCUGCUGAAAGAUUUGUGCCAACCUAUCCACCAGUAACCCUCAUGGAUAGUUAAAAAGUGUGUCGAUUUGGUCAGCCGGUCCACCACUACCCAAAUGGCAUCAUUCGUCUUGAAAGUCUUUGGCAAACCAGUCACAAAAUCCAUCGUGAUAUCCUCCCACUUCCACAAUGGAAUGUCUAACUAUUGCAUCAAACCACUAGCUCAUUGAUGUUCUAUCUUCAGUUGUUGACAAGUGAGACUUCCCAACAUAUUCAGCCAUAUCUCGUCUCGUUUCAUCCCAUUCCACCAAAAAUUCUUCUACAAGUCCCUAUACAUCUUUGUAGAACCUAGAUGAAUAGAAAAUGAUGAACUAUGAGCCUCAGCCAACACAGCCUCCCGAAUGAUUGGAUCCGACGGUACACACAACUGCUCACCCAACCAAAUCACACCAUGGUCAUCAAUACGAAACUCGGGCUGCUUGCCCUCCUCCAGAUUCUACGUCAGACCCCACAACUCCCCAUCUUCCUUUUGAGCUUCUUUGACCCGCGAGAUAAGAGAGGGCUCCACUCUCAUACCUGCCAAAUGCCCAUCUGAACCUCGUACGUACAACUCCAACUCGAGUCGUUCCAUAUCCGAAAUAAGCUGAGGUUGUGUAAGAAGGGCUGCUACACUCCCUGAACUCUUUCGGCUAAGAGAAUCUGCAACCACAUUUGCCUUCCCCGGGUGAUACUGAAUUCUAGCAUCACAAUCCUUUAGAAGCUCCAACCAACGCCUUUGCCUCAUAUUGAGCUCCUUCAGAGUGAAAAUGUAUUUAAGACUUUUGUGAUCGGUGAAGAUAUCAUAAAUCUCUCCAUACAAAUAAUGCCUCCAAAUCUUUAAGGCAAAUAUCACUGCUGCCAACUCCAAAUCAUGUGUGGGGUAAUUCACCUCGUAAGGUUUAAGCUGCCUAGAAGCAUAAGCAAUCACCUUACCUUGUUGCAUCAAAACACACCCAAGCCCUUCUUAGAAGCAUCAUUAUAAAUAUGGUAACUUCUUGUCCCCGACGGCAAUGUAAGUAUUCGAAAUGUCAUAAGCCGUUUCUUUAACUCCUCAAAACUUUUCUCGCGCUCCUCAUUCCACACAAACUUCGCGCCCUUUCUCAUCAACUGAGUCAAUGGUAAGGCAAGCAAGGAAAACCCUUCCACAAACUGCCUAUAAUACCAUGCCAAACCCAAGAAACUCCUAAUCUCUGUUACUGUAGUAGGUCUUGGCCAUUUAGUGAUAGCCUCAACCUUCGCAGGAUCCACCUUAAUGCAUUCAGCAGAAACAACAUGUCCCAAAAAUGCGACCUGCUCCAACCAAAACUCGCAUUUAGAGAAUUUAGCAUACAAUUUCUCUUCUUGCAAAAUCCCCAACACCGUGCGAAGAUGCUCCUCGUGCUCUUCCUUAGACUUGGAGUAAACCAAAAUGUCAUCAAUAAAGACAAUAACAAAUUGGUUUAAGUACUCCUUGAACACCCGAUUCAUCAAAUUCAUAAACACUGCCGGAGCGUUAGUCAACCCGAAUGGCAUCACCAGAAACUCGUAAUGCCCAUAUCAAGUACGAAAAGUUGUCUUAGGGAUACCCUCAUCCCUCACCCUCAACUGAUGAUAGCCCGACCUCAAGUCUAUCUUCGAAAAAUACUUUGUCCCUUGAAGUUAGUCAAACAAGUCAUCAAUCCUAGGCAAUGGAUACCGAUUCCUGAUGGUGAUCUUGUUCAACUCUCUGUAGUCUAUACACAGCCUCAUAGACCCAUCCUUCUUCUUUAUAAACAAGACCGGAGCACCCCACGGCGAAACACUCGGGCGAAUCACACCACGAUCUAAAAGCUCCUGCAACUGCUCCUUUAACUCCUGCAACUCUAACGGUGCCAUCCGAUAUGGCGCCUUAGAGAUAGACUCCGCACCAAGAACAAGCUCAAUAGCAAACUCCACUUCCUGCUGCAGUGGCAACCCUGACAACUCCUCAGGAAACACAUCUAAAAAGUCAUGAACAAUUGGAACAUCCUCAAUACGAGACUCACCCUUAGAGGUAACCUUCAUAAACGCCAAAUACCCCUCACAGCCCUUCGCCACCAACUUUUCAGCCUUCAAAGCUGAAAUUAACUUCACCACUCUACUCGGCUGUGAACCCUAAAACACAAAUUCUGGAGACUUCACAUCUCCAAAUAUAAUCUUCUUCGCCUGACAAUCGAUAAUGCCCUGGUGCUUAUCCAACCAGUCCAUCCCAAGAAUGACAUCGAAAUCGUGCAUACUCAUCGGAAGAAGAUUAUCCCUACGAAUCUUAUCCCCAAAAACUGAUCGCACACCCUCAAUACAAAUCAGAAAUAACAACAGAAGUCCCCACCGGGGUAGCAAUAGACAUAACAUAAUCUAAAAACUGAGAUGACACACCCUGGUGCCAAACAAAAGACUGAGAAACAACGAAAUGAGUACAACCCGUAUUAAACAAAAUAGACACCUAACGAUUGUCAAGUAAAAGAGUUCCAAAAAAAAGUACCUGGUGCACCUGCCACCUGGUUAUACGUUAAGGCAAACACUCGACCACCAUGACGUUGACCUCCAUUGCCACCAUUAUCACCACCUCCACUAUUUCCACGUGGCCCAGUAUAAUAUAUCUAGCCAUAUGACCCAUCUGUCCACACAAGAAACAUGCACCAGUGAGUCUGUGGCACUGCCUCCCUAGAUGAUUAGCCCCACAAGUAGCACGAGUUAUCGGAAUGAGAUUUGGGUUACCCCCACCAGCUAGUCUCGGAUAACGACCCUGAUUUUGCCACUGCUAACGAUUAUGCCCCUACUGACGAUUCUGACCAUGCCAAGGUACCUGAAGCUGACGAUUCUGUCCUUGCUGAGGCAUUUUUUGAUAACCCCUAUUUUGAUUCUGGCCACGCCACUGUCCCUGUUGGCCACCACGGUUCCUGUUCCACUGACCACCCUGAUUUUUUUCAUACUGACUUAAAGUUUGACCCUACUGGUCAUCUCUGUCCCUUUUUCGACUCCCCUCCGGUUUAGAAGACCGAAAAUCUUGUCGCUCCAUCUCAAUAUGCUUUGCUGCAUUAGCCACUGCUGACACGUUUGCAAACUUGGUGUUAAUGAGAUGCUUCCGAUACCUAUAAUGAAUCCUCCACUUAAAUUUCUCUGCCUGUUCUGUUGCAGUCCCUGCUGAGGUUCCCACAAAGCCUGUCACCCUAGUAAACCUCGUCAUGAAGUCUGUGAUGGACUCAUCAUCUUUCUGCUGAAUCGACAGAUACUCUUUAGCAUAGGCCUCUUUAUCAGCAGCAAGAAAAUACUGCUGAUAAAAGACCUCACAAAAUUAUGCACAGCUAAGUGUCCCAACAUAUUCAUCACCCUUUGUUACUUUCACCGCCUUCCACCACCUCUGUGCAUCCCCUUCCAGCUUGUAAGCAGUAAGUAACAUUUUCUGAUUAUCCGAACACCCCAACAAAUCAAAAAUCUUCUCUAAGUGGGCAAUCCAAUUCUCUGCAUCAAUUGGAGUUAAAGCUGAACUGAAUGACUGUGAUUUAUGCUUUUAAAAUCUCUCCAACCAUACAUACAUCGGAAUCACCGACUGAUCAUAACCAUCUACAUUCUCUUCCACUUCAUUUUCCUGUGGACCAUUAUUUCUCUGGUUCUCCUGUUCAGGAAUUUCUGCUGGCGGCUGCAGCAUUGCCUGUUCAACCUGUGCCACCAACUGAGAUAAAGCCUGGUUCACCGUCUGUUUCACUAAGGUAGUCAAUUGAGCAUUAAUUUGAUCAUUAGGUUGCUCAUUGGGCUGACCCUCACCUCUUCCCCUAUUGUUACCUUGCCUCCCAACAACUCUGGCGGAUCUACGAGCCAUCUAAAAAUGAGAUCACGAACAUAAACAAAGCAGAUUAGAGACAAAUUUGAAUAUAGCUGAUAUGAUAGCUGAACAGAAAAUCAAACAGAACAAAAACCUAACCCAGAAGUCUACCCAUAACUCAUAGGUCAAACCUAAAUAAGUUUUAUACAAGAAAGAACCUAAGCUCUGAUACCAACUCUGUAACACCCUCUUUCCGAAAUAGAAAGAGAGGUUACGCACAAAACAUAACAAAACGAAAUGAAAGCUUUAUGCCACAAAAGAAUGGUCUCAUAAUGAUUAAAUAUCACAAGACAAACUAUAAUAAAUGUCACACUGACUCAAACCAUAAUCUAAGUUAAUUGUUAUAAUUCAAAUAAACUGACAAAUCAAGCCUAAACAGAAUAUCUCUAAACCAUUGGAAUGAAGGGAGCUCUCAUCACACUUGCCCUUGAUCCUCCUGAUUACCUACCGGAAGAAAAACACAGCAUGAGCCAAAUGCCCAUUACGGAUAUAUAAUACAAGAAUAAUGAAACGAAAUAAUUGACUCAAUUAAAUGAACUGAACUGAAACAAAACAAAUAAAACUAAUACAACGAAAUAAUAGGCUGAAUCAAAUGGCUGGGUGUUAUUUCAUAUCGAGCUCAAAACAAAACAGAAAUAUACCUUGCCACACAGGCAAGUCAAAUAAUGUCACACAGGCAAAUCAAAUAAUGUCACACAGGCAAGUCACACACAUUGGACCGCGAAUCCAAAUGUAUGUAAAAUUGAAAGGUGUGUUUGACACAAUUACCAAUCCGCAAAAUAGAACAGAACAGAAAACUAGGGUCAACCUAAACGUCUCUCACAACAAAAUACCAAAUGGCCAACUCCCACCGGAGCACAAAACGGAGACGUCGUGGACUGAUCACACCGCCACGGAAGGUGUCAUACCUCGGUGCCAAGAGGACAUGUCUGUGGUACCCCCACAGGUGGUUAUAGCUCAAGUAUACCCUACGGUAUUUUAACAAAAUAUAAUGUCACAACACAUGCGACAAAAUAUCAUCACAAAUGGGUUCUAACGUGUACAUGUUAAAUUGAACGAAUCAUAAAUACAAGUCUCCAAAAAUAUACUGACAUGUACAUCACUAUAAAUAUCAAAAUAAAAUUUAAACAUAAUACAUUAGUCUAAAGAGUACAAACAUGAGUUCUAAUACAACGCCAAAACAAAACUAUCACAAUAAAUUGACAAAGGAUAUUUAUGAGAGCAAUACUAAAUUUCGAAACGGAUAACGAAACGAACAAAUUAAAAACAAAAGAGUCUCGUUGAAAGAGUACGGAAUCCAUACCUGAAUUAAGCAAUAUAAUACCCAAAAUUAUUGUCCCAAUAUAGUUCGUUAAAUUUCUUCCGUCCGAUCUAAUAAAAAUAAUAAUACAAUUAUAAGUUACUUACUAAUUAUAAUUUAUAUUAAUAUGAAAUUAAUUUUUCCAAUUACAUCAAUUUUACAAAAUAACCCUAAUUAAAUUAUAAUUUAUCUUCUAAUCAUUUUUUUUUCUUUUGAUUAUACUUUAACAAAUUAAUAACCUUAAGAUAUUAUAUAUAUAAAUAAUAAAACCUUAUUCAAUCAUUAAAGUCAUACAGUCUUUUAUAUAUAUAUAUAUAUAUAUAUAUAUAUCAUGAAUUAGUGCUGGACCUGCUAGUUUUAAAAUAUGAUUCGAAUCUCUUUUUUAUUUACAGCAGGUUCCGCAUAUAUAUAUAUAAAAUAUAUUUAUAUAGUCUAAUGCCUUUGUUCUAACAUGGUAAUCUGGUAAACAUAUAUAUACAUAUCCAGUCAAAUAAAUCAAUCAUGUAUACUAUUUUAAUUUUAACUGUGAACUAAAAGAAGUCAGCAACAUCAUUGAUAUACAAAAGGCACCAAAACGGAAAAAAAAAGAAAACAAACAAACCUGAUGCUCCUUUUCUUAUUACUUCGUAUGCAACUUCUCUCACAAAUACAAUAAGGGCGGCUUGACUCCUCUUUCUCUUUCUCAGGUUAUAUAAGGAAUAUAAGAUUAGGUUUAGUUAUUUAUUUACUUAAAAACAGAUUUUAUUAAUUAAUAUAUUUUAUUAAUUAUCUUAAUUAUAAUAGUAUUUAAUAUUACCCACAUAUAAAUUAAUCUCAAUUAGUUUUAAGGCUCAAUUUUGCCAAAUUAAUUUGUCCAUCACUUACUAAUUUUUAUUAGCCCACAUAAAUUAAAUAACUAGUUUGACCCAAAUAAAUGACAAAGUCCAAACAAUAUAUUUUAAAACAAAAUAAAUUUUUUAUUAUUAUUAUUUAAUUUCAAAUUUUUUUCUUUCGGGUAUUACAAUAAGAAUGUUCCUGUAAUAUCUAUUAAGAAGGGACAUACAGUUGUCCAACUCUUCCAACAAAAUGACACUAGAAACCAUAAGCUAAUCUGCAAGUCAGAUGAAUAUUAUUCACCUAAAAAUUUUUUUAGCACAUGAUAGAUAUUUUAGAAUGAUGUACUCUCUUUAACCAAAAAUAAAUUAGCUGGCUUACAACUGUUAUAUAUGACCACAAUGCCAAAGACGAAAAUCAAUAGCCUAGUAUGCCAAUAAAUUUGGGCUCAAAACUUGUAUAAAAUUAAACUUAACGUGUGCUCAAGUGUAAUUCUAAGAAAAAUAAAAUGAAUUAUUUGGCACCUCAAGCAGCUUUCAAAAUUGUAGUUAGCAUGUUCAGAGUUCCACAAGUAUGACCUCAUUGGCAUGAUAACUUUAUUGAUAUCAAAAUGAUAGUACAAUAGUUGGACUAUCAACUAUGUACAAGAGAAUCAGAGACUAUAAUCAAAUGGUUGUAAGAAAUCAUAUGCUGACCUCAACCGAGGUAUCACGAUUCAUCAGGCUUUCAUUAAAAUUAAAUAAUCAAAUGGUUGUAAGAAAUCAAAAUUACAUUUUAGGGAAAAAAAUAAACAAACAAUUGAUAAGCCAUAAAAAAUCAUAUUUUGAGAACAAAAUUGUUUUGUAACAAUUCCUAAAAACAAAAACAAACGCAAUUCAAAAAGUAUUCAAAGAAGAGUGAAGGAAAGAUUAAUGGCUUAUCAUUAACAGUUAGAAGAGCCGAAGAUGAGUCUGGAAAUUAAAAAAAAAAUUACCUAAGAAAAAUUUGGAGUCUGGAAAUUGGAGGCACCGCCGUAGAGGAAUCCGAAGUUCCGAACUGAAGAGAAGAUUGGAGAUCAAAGCAGUUGAGAAAUGAGAUAGAGAGGAUCAGUCGAGAUGGAGAAGAGCAGUCCGUUGGGACUUGGGACUUGGGAGCAUUCGAGAGUUAGAGAUGGAGAAAAAGGCAAUGAGUUUGAUA